ensembl:lncRNA
GGAGGGGAUGUGAGGUCAGGGGACCUGCCUGUUACCAGCUGUAAGAUCUUGAUGAACCAGAGGUGAUAACAGAGGCCCUUCCUGGAACUGCUGUGAGGAGUAAAUGAGAUAAGAACGUGGAAGUGAAGCACAGGUGUCAGUUAUUAAUGAGAGUCUGUUAACCUAAUAGACACCACUGACUGAGCUCUUACAACUGCACGGGACGAGGGCUUCACUUCACUAGCCUGGCCUCCUUUAAUCCAAUAAUCGCACAAAGAGGGCCCUGUAAGUAUCUCUAUUUAUCAAAUGAAGAAACUGAAGGCCAGAGAAGUCAUGGAACCUACCCCAGGUCACACAGCUGGUCAGUGGCACAAUGUGGAUUUGAACACGGGCUCUUGGUCACUCUGCGGUGCUUUCCUCUAUGCAGCAGUCUCUGUGUUAGCCACAGAGAUGUGAAAGUGGCGAUCUUGUGGGGUCGAGACUGCAGAGCGCACAGCUUGGCUGUAACACACACCCACAAAGAGGUUAAAGCUGAGCCAUCAUUAGAAGCAGCACCCAGCUCGGGUUCCUGCUUCAGCUUGGGAAAUAGAGAUUAGCAUAUAAAUAGCCUUCGGUGCCUGCUUGAUUCCAGCUAUUUUGCGUUUCAAUGUGGCAUCAGAAUGCACUUAGCAAGAAAUGUUCGAGAGGAGAAAGAGGUUUGUAAUAUGUCGCUUUUAUAGAGGGGGGAACUUUAAGUAUAAAAGAUCAUCCACUCCUUGUGGGCUUUUUUUUUUUUUUUGUAUCCUUUCAAUGCCCCAAUUACAGACUCCAAGGAGCCAACAGACCCCCUAGAACGGAGCCUUAGUUUACGAGGCAGCUCUUUCUUCGGACCGGGAAAAUAAGUCAAAAUGGUGCACAGGAAGUAAGAUAAAUACGCGGGCUUCCUCCCGGAUCCGGCUGGAGCCCUGGGGGGCACAGUCGUGCCCUGCUCCUCCCCCCCACGCCACCCAUCAGCAGAGGGACGUUGGACAGCUCCUCCAGGACCCGUCUGCUGGAGCAGUGAGAGCGAGUGCUGGCUUUCUGCCUGGAGGGCGAGUUCCCUCCUGGGAAAUUGCAGGGACUGGGCGCCGAGCCCGGGGUUCUUUCUGCCCUCUUCAUUCCACCCCCACCCCUCCACGCACGCAUGCCCGCGUUCCGGCUGCCUCUGGGUCAGGCUGAGUCUUGGGCUGCAGCAAGAAGAUUCUUAAAGCCCACACUUUCUCUCCUUUGGCACAAGGCAGUUGGACAGCUCUGAGAUGAAUGGGGCUGCACAGCUGUCGGGGGUGACACAGUUUUCCCUGGAUGUGGCCGUAGCAGAGGAGCUCAGGUCAAGCAGGUGGUGGCCCCUAGUCCAGCUCCUGGGGUGGCUUGGACCAACCCCGAGCCCUGGGUUCUAGUCCCGGCUGCCCUGUGAACUUGUGAUGGACGCAUCAGACAAGCUCUAAGCCUGAGUUCCUUCAUCUGUGAAAAGGAGAAGUACAAACGCUGCCCUGUCCGCUCGCGGGGCUAACAUAGGCAACAAAUGAGAAAAUGGACGUGACAGAACUUGGUAAGCUCCCUCCCCUGUUAGCAUUGUGUUAUUAGGCUGUUGGUAAGGUUUUGUCCUGGAUAGUCUGUCCUUUUGUCCAUCCACCCUAGCAACUCACCCAUGCUCCCAGGGCUCUGCCCAACCCGCUGACCUGAAGUAAGAGGGGUAAGGAGUAAAUAUUUUUUCAGGAAACCAGUUAGGAAAUGACAGCCCCCUCAGCUCUCAGCCCAAAGGCACCCGUUUGGGUUGUGUGAAGACAGGGCUGGGGCUUGCGUUGCAGAUAGACCUGGGCAUCAAGUUCCUGCCUCACCACUGGUAGCACCUGAGGCAUGUCGUCUGCUCCCUGAGUCUUAUCUUCACCGAUAAUGCGAGCCGCCUUCCAGGGAUGUUUUGAGACUCAAAGUGGAAACCUGAUGGAAAGUCCUUCAGGAACUGUAAAGUGUGGGGCAAUUGUUUACUUCUUGUCCUUCUGGCCUGCACACAGAGUAAGCACUGUGCCCUGGAGCCCCACAGCAAGAUGGCUGGGCUAGGGUACCGGCAGCUUGUUCCAUCCCGCCUCAUCCCAGCAUCACGCCCCCAAACCUAGAAGCCCUCACAGCGGGACAGUGUCCUGGUGAGCCCAAGGCACUCCUUGGUGUAUGUGACAUUGCCCAGGCUGAGCAGCGGCCCUCUCAGCCUCCACCAUGGCCCACAGACCCUAAGGGCACUGGCUCUCUGGGAAGGUCACCUUUACUUCCACGACAAUCCUUGUAAGCGGAGGAUUCUAACCCGGCUACAAUGGGAGCCCCUCACCUGGGCUCCUCAAUGGGAAAGUUACCAACGUGCAAAAUCUUUCUUUCUUUCUCCCCCCGUGCUGCAGCUUCAAAUACUCACUGCUCAAAGAAGAAUCAUGCUGAUUCUGGACUUCACGCAUGAAGCCUAGGUUUUCAUCCCAAAACGCUAUGUUGGAACAAAGGUGACUCCUUAUGAGGAGACCUGAAGGGUGACUCAAUGUGCUGGCACAGUGGGGUGGAGACCGCAGUGGGCUCUGGCAAGAGUUCUGGGUCCUGGUCCACUCUCUGCUGCUGACCUUGGAUGAUUUCUUUCCACUGUGUGACCCACUCUAUAAGGUGAGGUCCCUGCAUCAGACAACCUCCAGGGGCCCUUGAUGCUCAAAUUUCCAUUCCUUCCUAUAUUACUGUUCUCCUGGGUUUCCUCUGGCCAGAGUGCUCUUCUCUCUAGCUGAGAUACUCAACAGCAUCUGUCUUGCCAACCCAGGCAACUAUAGUAUCAGCUUCCAUUUAGAGCAUCUUCUAUUAUCCCCAGUUGAUACAUUAGAAAAUCAAGGCUCAGAGGAGUUGACUGGCUGACCCAUAGUCACACAGCUGUGAGAGAGGAACCAAGCUUCAACCUCAAGCGUCGACUCAGCUUCAGAGCCUGUGUUCUUAAUUAUCACACACUGUGGCAUUUUCCUGUGUCACUGCCUAGUUACUGUUUAUAAAAAUCACACAGCUAUAAGUGAGGAACCAAAAUUCAACCUCAGGCUUCAACUCAACUUCAGGGGCACGUUCUUAAUUAUCACACACUGUGGCGUUUUCCUGCAUCAUUGCCUGGUUAUUGUUUACAAUCAACGUGACUGUAAGACAGUCUAUGUCUCUCAUGCCUCAAAUUAUUUACCAAGACUUGACACAAAGAACACUGAUUCUACUGAAUGUUAAUCCUCGAAAAAAUAGUUUUCAUGAUCAAGUGAGUUUGACAUUGAGUAAAACAAGUAAACAGUUUCUCUUUAACUGCAAGACUUCUCAGAGCCUUUAAGAUGUGAGUAAGGUGCAUUUUAAAUCUACUAGAGGGGAUAGAGUAUACAAUUUUCCCCAAAGCUCUUUGUCCAUAGACCUCCUCCCUUUUUUUUUUUCCCCUUUGAGAAACUUGUGUUCCACUAAAAGACUAGGGUUCUACAAUUUCGCUACUCAAGCAUGAGACUGUCCCCAGACAGGCAACAUCAGGUGUCACCUGGAGCUAGUUAAAAAUACAGAAUCUCAGACCCUGCCUAGACCUGCCAAACCAGAGUCUGCAUUUUAAUAAGAGGCCCAGGUGGUUCGCGUGCCCAGUAAAGUUUGAAAAGCCCUGGUCCACGCUACACGUUUAGGGAAACAUGGCUUGAUGCAAGAGCAAUCAAGCCAUAAAAUCCAGUGGUGAAAAAAGUAUCAAGCACUAUUUGGCAUCACGUGGACCAAAUGACUAGAUUUGGAAUUAAGUCGAGGUGCUGUAACAUCACACAGAAUCCAAGAGAAUUCCCACAAUGUAAUGUUUCUCCCCAUUCCUAAUGGGAUGUCAAAAUUGAUAGAGAUGGAAGGAUGAUCAAUACCCUUUGCUAAAGGCAUUCCUAGAAUUCGGACAUGGAAAGCAUUGCAUUCCUCUUCCUAAAGUAUGAAGAUUUUUUAAAAAUUUCAGCUUUAUUGAGGUAUAAUUGACAUAUAAAAUUGUAAGAUAUUUAAAGUGUACAUUGUGGUGAUUUGAUAUACAUAUGCAUUGUGAAAGGAUUCCCCCCCUAGCGUUAGUUGACACCUCUAUCACUUCACAUAUUUAUCUUUUCUUUUUUACGGGAACAUUUAAGUUCUACUCUCAGUAUAUUUCAAUUAUACAAUUAUCAACUAUAGUCGCUAGGUCUUACAUUAGAUCCUCAGACCUUGUUCAUCUUAUAGCUGAAAGUUUGUACCCUUUGACAAACCUCUGCCUAUUUCCUCCACCCCCAGCCCCUGGCAACCACUUUUCUCUCUCAAUCAUAGAAGUAGGCGAGGUUAUGGGCAUCCCUGGGUUAUCACCUGGGAUAUUCUUGGGAAAUGACCCAUUGGUCCCUAAGCCUGGCAUCUCAGCAGACAGCCUCAAGGUUACAAAAGCUUGUCUCAAGGUUUUAAAAAUCACAGCUGAAAUGACCCAUUCAUGCAAGAUAAGACCUAUGCCUGCAGAAAACUGCCUUUGCUUUUGGCUGCAAUUAUUUCAAUUCAUGUGGUCACACUCUCUCAGGCUGACCUGACAUUUCAAGCUGUAGUUUGAUAUAUCUUUGCUCAACACAAGAUAGGGAAGCAAAUUAGACUUAACUUAAUUACUUCAAUGUUUUGGGGAGACAAAAAGUUUUCUAAGUCUGUGAGCAGAGAGGUUCACUAAGCGGCCCAAAGACACAGAGCUUGUAAGUGAUGACAGAUCUGUUGACUCCCAAGUCAGGACUCUUUCCAGUGCAGAGGCAACCCAAGGACACAUGUGUGUUUUGUCACACUCUUCACAUUUGGCUCCUAAGGAGUUUACCCUUCCCUAAACCCUUCCUUUUAUAAUACAAAGCACCCCUGUCUCCCUCCGCACGUCCCCCCGCUCUACUCUGCCUUUGGGUUUAGAACCUCUCAUUCAUCUUUAUUGAAUUCCUUUCUUUAGGUGCUGCCCAAUGUACCACCUCGCUAAGAUUUUUUUUCCCAUUCUAAAUUGUCAUGCAAAUCAUCUUCUAGUGCUCUCCACAGCUAGGAUGACUCUACCUACCUCCCUUGUCACUGGAGGAAAGGCCUUGUCAAGGAUGGAGCUCCACAGCCCCCUCUGAGAAAGAUUAGAACAAGACCACGUGCUCUGCGGAAUGAACCCCCAACUCCUGAAACACCGAAGGCUCCACCUAGACACACACACAGAACCCUGCAAAGGUGGCCGGCCAGCAUGUAUUCCCCAUCUUGCCAACGAGGAAUCUGAGGCUGCGAGAGAGUGACUGGCCAAACUGAUGCUGAGGGUAGAGACAAGCUCUUUCCGCUACUCAGAACUACCUGCCUGUGGUCUGAUGCUGUGAAAUAUUGACAACGCCUGUCUCUCAUUUGAGCAGAGUUAUUGGAAGAGAAUCAGCUAUCACGAUGGCUAGAUACUAUACUUCAUAAACUUACUGAUCUGCCCAUCAUUUGUCUUAUUUGGUUGUUGUUGUUAAUACUUUUCGCUCCUGGAGAAAAUAUUCAGCUAGUGAGCUCAUCUGUUCUGCCAUUCAAUGUAUUAAAUUAACACCUCAACGCACGGUCUAAAACUUAGAGGUGAAAAAUUGGGUCCUUGCAGCCAAGACCAAAUAUCAUUUAUCUUAAGCUUGCAUAUUAGGGAGACUGUUUAAAAACGUGACUUUGAAAUUCCUUGGAAACAAAGGUGUUUCCUGCACUGUUUGGAGGACCGUCUUAGUUCAUUCGGGCUGCCAUAACAAAACACUACAGACUGAGUGGCUUAUAAACAACAGAAAUUUACUUUCUCGCCGUUCUAGAGGAUGGAAGUGCAAGAUCAAGGCACCAG